CAAAUCUUGUUAAAUAUAUAGCUUAGUGAUUAAUUAAUUAAGUAUAUAGCUUAGCCUAGUUUUGUUAGGUAUAUAGCUUUUCCAAUUUUGACUAUUUAAUUUUAUUCUUUUAGUUAAAAGUUUUAUUAAAUCACUAAUAUAAGAAAUCGAUCAGCGAAAAUUAAGAAUAUUUUACCAUUUUAUUGAAAAAGGAUCGAAUUUCCGUUUAAUUUCAUUUGAUUCAUUAAAUGCUCAAAAUUUACCAAAACAGAUUCAUUUAAGUUAAGUUCCAAUAAAUUUAUUUAAACAUGUUUGGAUAAAAGUCACGAAAAUGACCAAAAUAUAACUAAUCUUUUUGGUAAAUUUUGAACACUAAGUGGAUUAAAUUGUAAAGAUAGAAUUUAGAAAAUGUUUUAUUAUCUUUCCAAAAACGAAGUCACUAAAUCAUUUAAAUCAUUUUCAAAGUGAUUCGGUACUUGAGAGCUCUUUCAAGAAUUGAAACAAAUUCAGAAUUUUCAAUUUGAUGCAUCCACCUAUAUCUGAGAUGAUUCAAAUUUUUGCGCCAUUGCAAACUAAGCAAUCCUCCAAUCGCUUCAAAGCAUUUAACUGCUUUCAGUCGUUAUACGACCGCGCACGCGAGAGUUUCGUGUUGAGUAUGAUAAAAUUUGUGUGAUUUUUCGUAAAAAGUUAAAAAAUAUACGUGAUUGAAAAGGAGUGAUUUGUAAAAAGUGUUGGCGAUAUGGAGAAGCCUUGGACUCUGAAGAAAGUAAAAGGCAUAGCUUGGAUGGAAUUGCCGCCAUGAAGAAUAUCAUUGCGCAGUGUGAAUACGUCAAGAUUUACAUGUGAAUACGAUGAUUAAAAUACAUCUAAUAGGGGAUCUCCUGUAUAAUUUCUGAUAGAAGAUUUCUAAUUUAAUUGGUCUAAGGAGUUUUAUCAGACCUGUCUCAGUGAAGCUGAAUGAAAGCAAAUAGGAAGUUGAAUACCAGAGCAACCUAAGACUCUGACCAGGCAGAAUCAACGUGGUUACGUGGUUCGAACGGCGAGAGCCGGUUAAAGAAGUGUGUUCUGAUGAAUGAACGAAUGGAUAAAUGUCAGAGCGCCGGUAGGGGCGGUAAAAGAAGAGACGGACUUGCGCCCCUGCAGGUCCGAAGUCUGUUGGAGGGGGCGAAGAGGACGUAGGAUGUAGAAGGGUGAGGGGUCGUUGGGUUAAUUGCACCGCAUCACAGAACGUAGUAUUUCGUAGUACGUGAUGGUGGGGAUGUAAUGCGUCCUCGAUCGUCCUCGUCCUCGUCGACGGCGUCGUCGUCGCCGUCGUUAUUCGUAUGUAAGCUGCACGCUCGCCUGGAUCGACGUAUGCGUAUCAGGGCCGUAUCCACACAGGUGUUCCAUUCGAAAAGGAUUACUAAAGGGAAUAUUCAAUUUUCUGUUCAACUUUGGUGUAACCUCGUUACUUUAAGCCUCUACUAGUAUAGUGAUUAUAAAAUUAAUUUCAAAACAACUUUAUUUCUUCUUUUUUGAUAUAAAAGAAAGUUACUUGAAUCUUCUAUUGAUUAGUAGUGAGCAUAAUAAUUUGUAUAAAAAUUGUAUUUCUAUUUUCUAAUUUUUAUUAAUUAAUGCAAAUGAAAGUUAAGUCAUCAAAUGUAGGACAAAUUAUCGCAGUCAUCCAUGAUGCAACAGUGUCAGUUGAGGGUUAAUGUUAUUACGCUAGAAUUACCUAUCUAUCAAAAUAAUUGGAAUCAGGUUUUUUGUUUUUCCAAUAGAACACUAUAAGGGAGGAACAUAAGUUACAUUCUCUGUCUUUUACAGAGGAACAGUUUUAAGAUUCAGUAUAUUGUUAAUCAAUCCCAUAUUAUCAAAAAUAUGUUUCUACUAUAGUUUUCAAUUAUUAGAAAUAGAUAUUUAUUUUUGGUGUUAUUGAUAUUUUAGUUUUAUUCGGAUAGAAACACUUAUUUUGGAUAUAUUGCAUUAAUUCCAAUCAACUAUCUGGAACAUAUGAAAGAGCUUGUUAGUUUUAGUGUUAAUAACAAAAUUAAUUCAAAGUAAAUAGAUAGGAAAGAAUACGUCUAAUAGAUUAAAUAAACUAAUUAGAGAUGGCUUCAUAAUAAUUGAAACUUAUGAAAUUCUAUUUAUAUAUUAGAAUUUAUGUCUUUUCACUUUUCUUUAGAUGACGAUAAUAAGGUGUUAAUGGAUUUGGAAGUUUUAGGGUGUACCAUGGAGUGAGAAUUUCUGAAAAUAUCGACGGACUUAAUCUGACGAAUCCACGGGCAAUUUAAUCGCGUAUAAAGUUUAAAAUAACUUCUAUACUUGAGUGUCUUGGAGAUUUCUGAAGGAACCUGUAAUCUUGAUGAAUUUAAGGAGCUGGCAAUCUUCGCGAAGCUAAUUCUGCUCUUGAGGGAAGCACAACUUUUGCUCCAUUUCGUCAGUCUUAAACAAACACUUAUAGAAAUUGUUUUAUUUCUUUCUUAGUUAAUUUAUAUUAGAUUAAUUGAAAUAAUUUGUUUUAGAACAUUUGAAGAUUACAAGGAAAAACACAUGUCUUCAUUGUAUCAUGGUAAUGCUAUAGUUUCAUUGAUCUUGAUGUUAUUCAGUGAUUAAAAGGAUAUACUUUGAUAUAAUAUAAUUAAAGAUAGGAAAAACCCAAUUAGUCUAAAGGUAUAACUGAUUAAAAAUAUCAAGCCCAUAAAGAUUUAUGAAAAAAUUAACUUACCAUAAUACUUUUGAGAAAUCAAUAUAUUUGAUGAUCUCACUCAUAACCAAUUUUAAUAAAAAUACAAAUUUGGUAAUAUACGUGAAUUGUUAACAAGAUAUGAGAUAUUAAAGUAGCUCUCAUAUGAAAAACAAAAAGUAUGACUUAUCACAGCUUUCCCCUGUAGUUUUCUUUUAUUAGAGGUGUCGCAUUUAGGAAAUGAAUUUAACAGUGUCAUAUCAGACAUUGGCGGAGCCCCGAGUCGCCAAAUGGACGAUAAUACGAACCAAUCGGCACGACGUACUUGAUGAACGUAAUAAUCGAUCGGUUGAGACGUUUGACACACUUUUCCAGCCAGACAACGAUUAAUUUUCGUCGAUGCAAAUCUGUACUAAGUGAUGUGGCGAAGGCGUUUUCGUGAAAAUGGCACAGGUGCACUGAAACUCUGUAUUGUAAUAAAUAAUCGAUACCAUUCAUUGUCUCUGAUGUGGCUGUGGUUCAGAUUAGAGAAACACCUUUUCAACAUAUUUGGAUUCUAGGGGAAAAUAUCUUCUUCUUCUUUCAUAUUUUCUACGGUACAUUCAAGUGAGUCAAUUAAUACUUUCCAGGCAAAAAUUAUUUCAAAGUACCAAGAUACUCAGAGAGAAAAAUCGAUUUCUACAACACAAUGAAUACAAUUUCAUUCUGAAUACUAACAAUAUCAAGCCAAAAGUCACGCUAGAGCUGCAAAAUACUUUAAAUUUCAAAAGAUCCUAUAUAUUAUAUUAUAUAUAGACAAAUUGAAAAUUUGCAUAAUUUUAUGUACAAUCAGGGCGAAGAGGAGAAUUGAUACGGUGUUGUUAGCUCGUGUGCGUGACGUGGAAAGCACACGCGAGCACACGCUCACGCUGCUCGCGUGUCAACUACCGUAACCCUCGAGUACAUCGGGGGUUUCACGAUGGACGGGGUCGCGGCUGAAAGGAAGGGGCUGAAAAAAGGUGUGAAUGCCGGAUGGCAUUCAUUCAAAUGCCGUCCAAUCACAGCAUCGUACUCCAGGUCGAGUAGCAGGGCCGGCAUGCAUCGGGAAUUAUUAAGUCCUCGCGAUUCCCUGUUGCGUUAACGAGCCAAAUUAACUCAAACCGAGAAGAAAAACCGUCUGCGAGAUAAACUGGAUAAAUAUUGUAUUAAUUAUUGCUGCAUUGCGUAUGCUGUUAGCCACGACGAAGUGGCUAAAAAGUUCUAAAAAGAAGCUCUAUCCUUAUAAAAUAGAAAUUGAAGACUAUUUUAAAGAUUGGUUUGGAAAAAGGAUGAGCAAAUUUGGAGUAAGAAGGAUUGUAUUUGAGCGAUAUUUCAACAAAUCAAAUAAAACAGAAACUGGAAUAGAAAGUCGUGGCAUGAAAUCAAGUAGAUCUGCUAAUUUCCUGUGGAUCAAUUUUGUAUAGUUAAUUGCAUUUUAAUUUUUAUUGCAUGGUAUAAAUUGGUUUAGAAGUGUAAAUAAAGCAAUGGACAGUAUGUCGAAUUAGGUAUUAGUUAAAAUAAGGAUAUUUCUGAUAAAAUAUAAACAAAAAGCAGAGCCAAAAAUAUGUGGCUAUAUUUGAAUAGCAAAGUUACAUUAUUACAUCGAAGAAGAUAAGAAUAAGGUACCAUUUAACUUUCACUGAAUCAAUCUCUUUGAACUUUUACCAGUUUUACUUAAAAUAACUCUUCUAUAUGGAAUAAAAGCUUCUAUGAAUAAAUAGAAUAAAGAUAUAAUCUUUCCUAGAUUCUGCAGUUUCAGUUAGACGCCGCUCUGAAAUUUAUGAAUCAAAUAGAGAGGAUCCGGCUCGACUCGCCGAGGCAACGUCUUUCUGCCGAGUGUUUUUGACACGAGGCGGUCUCUCCAAUCGAUCCAGGCUAGAAUAGCCGAACCGGAAGUGGGACGUUUAGGCUCGAUGGGAAUGACAACGAAGAGAGAGCGACUUAACUUUGGAUCACGACGGGGCCCUCUCGCUGUGAAUCACUCGAACGAAUUUCCUCGAUAAGAUAGCUAGCUCUCCUUCCAGCCGCCUAUUCUUCCAUGCGAGAAUUACUUUCGUUCAACGAAGGAGAGGCGAUUCUUCUACUUAAGAAUUAAUUGAAAGGGAAACGAAUCGUCGACGUUGAUCGAACGGGGAUCUAGAAGACAUCAGCUUCUUCCAUGAACCAUCCUGUUUCAUCUCUUUCAUAAGUUAUUAAAUAGAUAAAAAAGAAGAACGUCAAGAGAAAUUGCUAUUAUAAUUUUGGUAAAUUAAUUUACGGUUAUGUGUAUUUAAUUUGUCAGAAUACUAGUAGGAUUGUUCAUACUUAAGAUGUGACCAAAAUAUUGGCUUCAUACGUACUCACGUAAUUGUUUUCGUGGUUAAGUUCGAAAGAAGAAUUUCUUCUUUUGAAGAGAUGUAACGGAUUCUGUGAGAAAAAUUAAAUGAUACUUAUACUUUUGUUCAAUUCUGCGAUACUGCAACUGCACAGAACUUUUUAAACGUUAUCUUAGAGAACUGAAUAUUUAAAUCAUGAAAAUAAGUAAAAAUAUAGAAAUUUAAAGGUUGAAAUAUUUAAUCUUAUUAAUAUCUUCAGAUCUACUGAACGAAAGUCGAUUAGCCUUGAUAUUUCCAAAAGGACUGCUAUAAUCUCGAAUAUAAUCAAUUUCUGUAAAGAAAUUCUAAUUUAAUCUAACGAUGAAAAAGUGUUUCAUUUAAUUUUAAUUUAAUAAUUGAAGAUUACUGUGAAUUAAUAUUAAAAGAACAAUAAGAGAAGAUAAAUUCUCUCUAGCAAAGAGAAUCUUAUUAAUUCCACUUAAUAUUUUCAAAUAGAUUUCAAGUAUCAAUUUGGACAGUAACUCACUAGACCACAAUUGGUGUGGUUAGAGGCAUCAAUGAAGCAGGAUGAAGGUAGAUCCCGUUUCACGUUCAGGUUUUCUGGUGUCUACGGUUGAAACUGAUAUACUCUGAGCUGAAAGACAAGUAACUUUCAUCGAUCUUGUUCGGUGAUCCCGUCAUCCCCCAGUGGCGAGGAUCUCCCUCUCGUUUUUGUGUUUAAUUGCUCGUCACGACGACGAGCGUCGAACCCGAAUAAAUUUGAAAGCUGUUCACGGGGAAUUUUAUUGAACGUCCGGCAGAAACUCUGCGACGAUUCUCACCGUUAUUAACGUAUCCAUUCUGGCCGCGUUUUACUCUCAAACUAUAAGGAAAUUAAGCAGCUGUUUCACUGAAAUGGAAGAAAAUAUGUUGCAAUCUGAUAGAACAAUUUCCAUCUCAACUAAUAUAACGUCAGAAUAAUUUUCAUCCGAAUAAUUUUCAU